GAUGAACGCUGGCGGCGUGCCUAAUACAUGCAAGUCGAGCGAACAGACGAGGAGCUUGCUCCUCUGACGUUAGCGGCGGACGGGUGAGUAACACGUGGAUAACCUACCUAUAAGACUGGGAUAACUUCGGGAAACCGGAGCUAAUACCGGAUAAUAUAUUGAACCGCAUGGUUCAAUAGUGAAAGACGGUUUUGCUGUCACUUAUAGAUGGAUCCGCGCCGCAUUAGCUAGUUGGUAAGGUAACGGCUUACCAAGGCAACGAUGCGUAGCCGACCUGAGAGGGGGAUCGGCCACACUGGAACUGAGACACGGUCCAGACUCCUACGGGAGGCAGCAGUAGGGAAUCUUCCGCAAAGGGCGAAAGCCUGACGGAGCAACGCCGCGUGAAUGAUGAAGGUCUUCGGAUCGUAAAACUCUGUUAUUAGGGAAGAACAAAUGUGUAAGUAACUAUGCACGUCUUGACGGUACCUAAUCAGAAAGCCACGGCUAACUACGUG
rnacentral:rRNA from 1 species